rnacentral:rRNA from 1 species
CCUACGGGGGGCUGCAGUAGGGAAUAUUGGACAAUGGGCGCAAGCCUGAUCCAGCCAUGCCGCGUGAGUGAAGAAGGCCCUCGGGUUGUAAAGCUCUUUUGUCCGGAAAGAAAAGCAAUCGGUUACUACCCGGUUGUUCUGACGGUACCGGAAGAAUAAGCACCGGCUAACUUCGUGCCAGCAGCCGCGGUAAUACGAAGGGUGCAUGCGUUACUCGGAAUUACUGGGCGUGAUGCGUGAGUAGGGGGGUGAAAGCCCUGGGCUCAACAUGGGAAUGGCAUUGGAUACUGGCGGGCUAGAGGGCGGUAGAGGGUAGUGGAAGUCCCGGUGUAGCAGUGAAAUGCGUAGAGAUCGGGAGGAACAUCUGUGGCGAAGGCGACUGCCUGGACCAGAACUGACACUGAGGCACGAAAGCGUGGGGAGCAAACAGGAUUAGAUACCCGGGUAGUC